AACGGUCAUACCAUGCUGAAUAUACCGGUUCUCGUUAGAUCACCGAAGUCAAGCAUCAUUGGGCGCGGUCAGUACUUGGGUGGGUGACCACCUGGGAACACCGCGUGCAG
rnacentral:rRNA from 1 species